GAAAAAAGAUGGACGCGCAUGUCAAUUCUGCAUUUGUAAAAUAAUUAAAAACUAGAGGUUCUCGCAGUAGUCGAAAUUCGACUAUAAUUAAUUGGAAUUACGUCAAGAACAGGGGGGUGCAACUCCCAUACAAAGGAAAAGAACAUUCAACUAGCGUCAUCUUUAGGAACCGGCGAGGUCAUUUUUGAAACGUUUUGGCCUUAAUGAACUAAUAAACUCACUAGAUGGCAGAUACGAGUUCUGACUCAAUAAAAAAGGUUAGCGUACUUUGAAGCAGUGCUUCCACUUUUAGGGAAUUCUCCCUUUUUUAGGGAAAAAUAGCUGAUAUUUUGGAUGAUAAAGACAAUUUAAAAAAUACCAGGAUUUAGGAUAUUUCGGGGUAAAAAGCAAAGCCUAUACUAGUAACUGUUGUGAAUUUUAAAAUAAACGGUUUUUAAAGUAAAACAAUGAACAUUUUAUUUUAUGGAGAGAGAAUGGAGUUGACAAGUAAAAGAAUAAAACAGAGUUGUGUAUAUCCCAAUAAGUAUAAUCCGCCAAACUUUUAUUUACCUAUUUUCGUUGAUGUCACCAGAACUUACUUGUAUUGUAAUAUACAGGUACUUCAUGUACCAUGAAAGAUUAUCAUGGUAAUUUCAUUUACGAAAACCUUGUAAUUGUCAUUUCACUUUUGCUAGCAGUUCCUUCUUCAAAGACUGAGGUGGAAAGAUUAUUCAGUGUUCUCAAAUGUAAAAACUGACAAAAGAAACAGGCUUUCUAAUGAAACCCUGAACGGCUUGCUUCAUAGAAAGUUCCCAACUUUGCCAGCAAACAAUUGCUCAAUUUUAGAACCGAACAGUGUUAGGUUGCGUGCAGCAAAAGAAUAUAAAAGCAAUGCGUCGACUUCCUUGAAAAUUCUAACCCUAUAGAUCUAUGAUCUUCUGGGGGCGUUUAUAUUAUAUAUACCUACAUUAAAUAAUAUGCUGUGGUUUAUUUUCUGUAUUUUAUUUAUGCUUUCUAUAUAAAGGAUUUAUGAAAGUUGUCUAGGAAAUUUUAGGGAUAAAUUCAAAAGAAACUAGGGUAAGCACUUAUAAUUAUAAUUAUAUUUAUAAGCACUGGUGACCACUUAUCAUGAGCCGGGUUGCGUGCUCGUCUGCUGUUGAGUGCAAUAAAAUUUUUCGAAACCCUUUCUAUUAUUUAGAUGUAAUAUUAAUGUACAUUUAAUUUGGAUUAAAAGAUAAAUUUACAUUUUAUGUUUGCAUGUGAAUGUUUAUAAUUCAUUUGCAUGUAACGAACAUCAGUUUCUUUUGUAACAAAAUGCAAACUAAUGGUUUGUAAUGAAUGUAAUUAACUUUAAGAUUAUUUUCUUUCAAUCUGCUGUUUGUUUCAUCUAGUAUUACCAAAGCUAAAGCAUCAGAAACGUCAGAAUAGAAAUAAUUUAGAUAGGGAAUAAAAGUAUAAUUAAUGUAAUCAUGUCUAAAAUUACUAUAAGCGUCGUUAAGUACAAACUAUCAAUAUUUAAGAGUACUUUAAAUCAUCAUUACAUUUUUUAAACAUUUUUUGUUUUUUUUUUGUUUUUCAAAUCAUGUAACAAAACGUUUGUGCAGAACAAAAUGUCACAUGUUAUGAACAUGAUUGUGGGUUAAUCGUUUCUUAAAUUUCUAAAUAUUUAUAAGAAUGCUAAGAUUAAUUUAGUAUUCACUUUAGUGUGUGUAUUAUCUCUACAAUGCUAGUUUAAAUGACAAUUAUUGUAUGACGAAGCAUAGGUAGUGUUUAUAGAUGUAAUAUUUUCAUACAAGGUCAUGAUCUGUCACGAUCAACUUUAAGCAAGAACUGCUAUCGUUAAGAAACAAAUUUAUUAAAUUUAAUUCAAAUUGUCUACUAUGUUUGUAAUGGAAAGCUGACAUGUUUAUAUUUCGCAUAAAUGACUUAAUUGACAUUGAAUGAUUUGAUUAUCUAGACUUAAUUAACUUUUAGAUAACUUGCGAUUUAAUGUGUACGCUAGUAGGAUUAAUCUAGAGGAGUUAUUGUUAUUCGAAAUUUUAUACAAUUGUACGUUCAUACAAUCUUUUAACAGAAAAUUGUUUGUAAUAUAGGGAAAUUAAAUAGCUUACAGAGAA